GAUGAACGCUGGCGGCGUGCUUAACACAUGCAAGUCGAACGGUGAAGCAGAGCUUGCUCUGUGGAUCAGUGGCGAACGGGUGAGUAGCACGUGAGCAACCUGCCCCUGACUCUGGGAUAAGCGCUGGAAACGGCGUCUAAUACUGGAUAUGAGCUGCGACCGCAUGGUCAGCAGUUGGAAAGAUUUUUCGGUCUGGGAUGGGCUCACGGCCUAUCAGCUUGUUGGUGAGGUAAUGGCUCACCAAGGCGUCGACGGGUAGCCGGCCUGAGAGGGUGACCGGCCACACUGGGACUGAGACACGGCCCAGACUCCUACGGGAGGCAGCAGUGGGGAAUAUUGCACAAUGGGCGAAAGCCUGAUGCAGCAACGCCGCGUGAGGGAUGACGGCCUUCGGGUUGUAAACCUCUUUUAGCAGGGAAGAAGCGAAAGUGACGGUACCUGCAGAAAAAGCGCCGGCUAACUACGUG
rnacentral:rRNA from 1 species